rnacentral:lncRNA from 1 species
AUUUAAGUAGGGGGCGGGGGAAGGAAGAGAGGAAUAAGAGAAAAGAAAAGAAAAGAAAAGAAAAAAAGAGGGAAAAAAGAAGCAGAGGAAGAAGGGGAGCGGGAGAGAGAGAGAAGAGAAAGGAAGGUUCCAGAAGGAGGGAGAAAGGAAGCGGAGCGAAGAGGAGAGGAGAGGAGAUCGCAGACGGUGAUAGCACAUUCGGCCGAAAGAGAGAAAAACGGAAAUGGGAGGUACGGUACCAAACUCUAAAUUUAUGUGUUGAUUUAAUUGUGAAAUGGUUGGAUGUGUGGCGUGCGUGGCCACGGCUUACGAAGGUAGCGGUAUACAGGAGAGGCUGGGUGAGGAUGUGUAGAGAGGCGGGUGGAAGAAAGCGGACCGAGUGAGGAUCG